rnacentral:rRNA from 1 species
AACGCGAAGAACCUUACCUGGGCUCGAACGGCUUAAGAACAUGCUUGGAAACAGGCACUUCCCGCAAGGGACUUGAGUCGAGGUGCUGCAUGGCUGUCGUCAGCUCGUGUCGUGAGAUGUUGGGUUAAGUCCCGCAACGAGCGCAACCCUUGUCCUGUGUUGCCACUCCCCUUAAAAGGAAGCACUCGCAGGAGACCGCCAGCGAUAAGCUGGAGGAAGGUGGGGAUGAUGUCAAGUCAUCAUGGCCUUUAUGUCCAGGGCCACACACGUGCUACAAUGGGCGGUACAAAGCGCUGCCAACCCGCGAGGGGGAGCUAAUCGCCAAAAACCGUCCUCAGUUCGGAUUGCAGGCUGCAACUCGCCUGCAUGAAGCUGGAAUCGCUAGUAAUGCUAUAUCAGAACGAUAGCGUGAAUACGUUCCCGGGCCUUGUACACACCGGCUAC